CAUGCCCUAAACGAUGUCAACUAGUUGUCGGGCCUUUACGGGCUUGGUAACGUAGCUAACGCGUGAAGUUGACCGCCUGGGGAGUACGAUCGCAAGAUUAAAACUCAAAUGAAUUGACGGGGACCCGCACAAGCGGUGGAUUAUGUGGAUUAAUUCGAUGCAACGCGAAAAACCUUACCUACCCUUGACAUGUAUCGAAGCCCGCAGAAAAGCGGAGGUGCCCGAAAGGGAACGAUAACACAG
rnacentral:rRNA from 1 species